rnacentral:tRNA from 1 species
GAUUAUAUAGUCAAUAUUGACAUAAAAUUGCAAAUUUUAAGGUAUUUUAUUAAAUUGUAGUCU